rnacentral:rRNA from 1 species
UACGUAGGGUCCGAGCGUUGUCCGGAAUUACUGGGCGUAAAGAGCUCGUAGGUGGUUUGUCGCGUUGUCCGUGAAAACUCACAACUCAAUUGUGGGCGUGCGGGCGAUACGGGCAGACUGGAGUACUGCAGGGGAGACUGGAAUUCCAGGUGUAGCGGUGAAAUGCGUAGAUAUCUGGAGGAACACCGGUGGCGAAGGCGGCAUCC